AAAAACAAGUAUAGUAUAUCUAAUUUUGGGCAUGUAAAUUGUCUAAUGUACUUCUACACUAGAGAUGGGUAAACAUAUUGUGCUUGUCUGUACCUUAACUUCCAUUCUCAUGUUAAUUAGUUCAUUUCUUUAUGAUGUGCUGGACAAGAAGAACUAAGCUGUUAAGACUACUAUGCUUAGAAAAUACAAUUUAGGGCAACCACCUAUCAAGUUUAUAUUCCUUAGGGCACAAUCAAAUUCUUCAAUAUUGUAAGCCAUCCAUCAUAAACAAGGCUGUCAUCCAUAGUCCAACUACCAGACAGCUUCCAAAUGAACUUCAAUGUCCAUUGAUAAAAGAAUUUGUUCAGAGAAUUCCAAAUUAUAAAGCAUAAUCAUUACAGGAUUGCCUGAAGGAAAAAUUAAACAAUUCCUUGAAUGAUGCAAUGCAAUUUGUAUUCAUUAUUUAAAAUAUCUAUAAACAAUAGUCAAUCAAAAAAAAUUCACAUGCAUAACCCAACCAUCAAUAUCCUCAAUGUGAACUCUGCCUAUUUUGAUGUUUUUGUACCUGGUAUAGCAAGUCCCAAGUCUAGCUAAAAGAUAAUUUGAUGUCAAAGCCUAAUCUGACAAAGAAACAAUGAAACACGUCUUUCAUGCUAAGGAUCAAACAU
rnacentral:misc_RNA from 1 species